rnacentral:rRNA from 1 species
UACGUAGGGUGCGAGCGUUAAUCGGAAUUACUGGGCGUAAAGCGUGCGCAGGCGGUUUUGUAAGCCAGAUGUGAAAUCCCCGGGCUUAACCUGGGAAUGGCAUUUGGGACUGCAAGGCUCGAGUGCGGCAGAGGAGACUGGAAUUCCUGGUGUAGCGGUGAAAUGCGCAGAUAUCAGGAAGAACACCUAUGGCGAAGGCAGCUCUCUGGGACGGUACUGACGCUGAGGAGCGAAAGCGUGGGGAGCGAACAGG